UGAGGAAUAUUGGUCAAUGGGCGCAGGCCUGAACCAGCCAAGUAGCGUGAAGGAUGACUGCCCUAUGGGUUGUAAACUUCUUUUAUAAAGGAAUAAAGUCGGGUAUGUAUACCCGUUUGCAUGUACUUUAUGAAUAAGGAUCGGCUAACUCCGUGCCAGCAGCCGCGGUAAUACGGAGGAUCCGAGCGUUAUCCGGAUUUAUUGGGUUUAAAGGGAGCGUAGAUGGAUGUUUAAGUCAGUUGUGAAAGUUUGCGGCUCAACCGUAAAAUUGCAGUUGAUACUGGAUAUCUUGAGUGCAGUUGAGGCAGGCGGAAUUCGUGGUGUAGCGGUGAAAUGCUUAGAUAUCACGAAGAACUCCGAUUGCGAAGGCAGCCUGCUAAGCUGCAACUGACAUUGAGGCUCGAAAGUGUGGGUAUCAAACAGGAUUAGAUACCCUGGUAGUCCACACGGUAAACGAUGAAUACUCGCUGUUUGCGAUAUACAGUAAGCGGCCAAGCGAAAGCAUUAAGUAUUCCACCUGGGGAGUACGCCGGCAACGGUGAAACUCAAAGGAAUUGACGGGGGCCCGCACAAGCGGAGGAACAUGUGGUUUAAUUCGAUGAUACGCGAGGAACCUUACCCGGGCUUAAAUUGCAAAUGAAUUAUGGGGAAACCCAUACGCCGCAAGGCAUUUGUGAAGGUGCUGCAUGGUUGUCGUCAGCUCGUGCCGUGAGGUGUCGGCUUAAGUGCCAUAACGAGCGCAACCCUUAUCUUCAGUUACUAACAGGUCAUGCUGAGGACUCUGGAGAGACUGCCGUCGUAAGAUGUGAGGAAGGUGGGGAUGACGUCAAAUCAGCACGGCCCUUACGUCCGGGGCUACACACGUGUUACAAUGGGGGGUACAGAAGGCCGCUACCUGGUGACAGGAUGCCAAUCCCAAAAACCUCUCUCAGUUCGGAUCGAAGUCUGCAACCCGACUUCGUGAAGCUGGAUUCGCUAGUAAUCGCGCAUCAGCCAUGGCGCGGUGAAUACGUUCCC
rnacentral:rRNA from 1 species